GAAGGGGAGAGAUCGACAACGAUGACGACGUGAGGGGAGGCAUUGACAACGGCGACGACGACGACGACACGGGGGAGGGGGAGGGAUGAUUCAAAAAAUAUUGUCCAUUGGAUUUACGUGGGUAAAGGAAAUAGAGUUAUCUAGCGAUCUAAACCGUUAGUUUUGAUGGUGUAUUAAAUUUGGGUGUAAUUUGUUUGUUGGAUUUAUUUGAGAUUAUGAGUGUGGCCGUGAUUUGGGUGGGCGGUUUUUGCAAAAUUUAAAGGGUGAAUUAUAUGGUGGUAUAGAUUAAUGUGAUUAGUACACGGUCGCAAUGGGGUUUAUCUGUGGCAGCGUGAAUUUGUUGGAAUGGCAUGAGAUGUGAAAUUGGGAUUAUUUAAGUACGCGUUAAUUUGGGCGAUCACUUGUAGUGGAACUUUGAUUUGACUUGGUCUUGAGGAUUAACGACGUUGCCUAGCUAAGUUAUUUGUCGUUGCACGUGUGCAUGCAUUCCCAUCACUUAUGAUUGCUGGGAUGCUCGGUCCCAAGUCACGCUCACUUGAGGACUUGAGGUAACAAAUUGAAUUUCCUGUUUUGGAACCAACUAUGCUAUUUUCACUAUGUCCAUUUCUUUCUCAAACAUUGUAUGCCAUUUUUGUAUGGAUAAACCCUGAAAAAAUCAUCUACUUAGCCCCCCUAUAUAAAGAGAGAAAGGUGUUAUCCGAACUUAAAACAUGAGGUGAUAGUAAAAUGGAAU
rnacentral:lncRNA from 7 species